rnacentral:rRNA from 1 species
GUCCACGCUGUAACGAUGAAUACUAGGUGUGGGAGGACUGACCCCUUCCGUGCCGCAGUUAACACAAUAAGUAUUCCACCUGGGGAGUACGACCGCAAGGUUGAAACUCAAAGGAAUUGACGGGGCCCGCACAAGCAGUGGAUUAUGUGGUUUAAUUCGACGCAACGCGAAGAACCUUACCAGGGUUUGACAUCCAACUAACGAAGCAGAGAUGCAUUAGGUGCCCUUCGGGGAAAGUUGAGACAGGUGGUGCAUGGUUGUCGU